rnacentral:rRNA from 1 species
AUACGUAGGGGGCGAGCGUUGUCCGGAAUGAUUGGGCGUAAAGGGCGCGUAGGCGGCGCGGUAAGUCUGGAGUGAAAGUCCUGCUUUCAAGGUGGGAAUUGCUUUGGAUACUGCCGCGCUUGAGUGCAGGAGAGGUUAUCGGAAUUCCCGGUGUAGCGGUGAAAUGCGUAGAGAUCGGGAGGAACACCAGGGGCGAAGGCGGGUAACUGGACUGCAACUGACGCUGAGGCGCGAAAGUGUGGGGAGCAAACAGGAUUAGAUACCCUGGUAGUCCACACUGUAAACGAUGAAUGCUAGGUGUAAGAGGUAUCGACCCCUUUUGUGCCGCAGUUAACACAAUAAGUAUUCCGCCUGGGGAGUACGGCCGCAAGGUUGAAACUCAAAUGAAUUGGCGGGG